GACGAACGCUGGCGGCGUGCUUAACACAUACAAGUCGAACGGAAAGGCCCUGCUUUUGUGGGGUGCUCGAGUGGCGAACGGGUGAGUAACACGUGAGUAACCUGCCCUUGACUUUGGGAUAACUUCAGGAAACUGGGGCUAAUACCGGAUAGGAGCUCCUGCUGCAUGGUGGGGGUUGGAAAGUUUCGGCGGUUGGGGAUGGACUCGCGGCUUAUCAGCUUGUUGGUGGGGUAGUGGCUUACCAAGGCUUUGACGGGUAGCCGGCCUGAGAGGGUGACCGGCCACAUUGGGACUGAGAUACGGCCCAGACUCCUACGGGAGGCAGCAGUGGGGAAUAUUGCACAAUGGGCGGAAGCCUGAUGCAGCAACGCCGCGUGCGGGAUGACGGCCUUCGGGUUGUAAACCGCUUUCGCCUGUGACGAAGCGUGAGUGACGGUAAUGGGUAAGGAAGCACCGGCUAACUACGUG
rnacentral:rRNA from 1 species